GACGAACGCUGGCGGCGUGCUUAACACAUGCAAGUCGAGCGGUAAGGCCCUUUCGGGGGUACACGAGCGGCGAACGGGUGAGUAACACGUGGGUGACCUGCCCUCAGCUCUGGGAUAAGCCUGGGAAACCGGGUCUAAUACUGGAUAUGACUCCAUGACGCAUGUUGUGGGGUGGAAAGCCUUGUGCGGCUGAGGAUGGGCCCGCGGCCUAUCAGCUUGUUGGUGGGGUGAGGCCUACCAAGGCGACGACGGGUAGCCGGCC
rnacentral:rRNA from 1 species